UUAAGUUCAGCGGGUAUCCCUACCUGAUCCGAGGUCAAAAUUGUGAGGAUAGCUUCUGGGAGCCAAUACGACGGGCCCGAGUUCGCGUUUCUGCUGCGCUCGAAGCCAAUGUACCGGCCGCCAAUAAUUUCGAGGCGAGCCCGCAGUGAAGCGGACAGUCACCCCAACACCAAGCUUAGCUUGAAGGUUUAAAUGACGCU
rnacentral:misc_RNA from 1 species